rnacentral:rRNA from 1 species
CCUACGGGAGGCAGCAGUGGGGGAUAUUGGACAAUGGGGGCAACUCUGAUCCAGCGACGCCGCGUGAGUGAAGAAGUAUUUCGGUAUGUAAAGCUCUAUCAGCAGGGAAGAAAGAAAUGACGGUACCUGAGUACGAAGCCCCGGCUAACUACGUGCCAGCAGCCGCGGUAAUACGUAGGGGGCAAGCGUUAUCCGGAAUUACUGGGUGUAAAGGGAGCGUAGACGGUAAUGCAAGUCUGGAGUGAAAGGCGGGGGCCCAACCCCCGGACUGCUCUGGAAACUGUGUAACUGGAGUGCAGGAGAGGCAGGCGGAAUGCCUAGUGUAGCGGUGAAAUGCGUAGAUAUUAGGAGGAACACCAGUGGCGAAGGCGGCCUGCUAGACUGUAACUGACGUUGAGGCACGAAAGCGUGGGGAGCAAACAGGAUUAGAUACCCUUGUAGUC